UACACUCCUGCGGGAGGCAGCAGUGGGGAAUAUUGCACAAUGGGCGCAAGCCUGAUGCAGCCAUGCCGCGUGUAUGAAGAAGGCCUUCGGGUUGUAAAGUACUUUCAGCGGGGAGGAAGGCAAUACGGUUAAUAACCGUGUUGAUUGACGUUACCCGCAGAAGAAGCACCGGCUAACUCCGUGCCAGCAGCCGCGGUAAUACGGAGGGUGCAAGCGUUAAUCGGAAUUACUGGGCGUAAAGCGCACGCAGGCGGUCUGUCAAGUCGAAUGUGAAAUCCCCGGGCUCAACCUGGGAACUGCAUUCGAAACUGGCAGGCUUGAGUCUUGUAGAGGGGGGUAGAAUUCCAGGUGUAGCGGUGAAAUGCGUAGAGAUCUGGAGGAAUACCGGUGGCGAAGGCGGCCCCCUGGACAAAGACUGACGCUCAGGUGCGAAAGCGUGGGGAGCAAACAGGAUUAGAAACCCGGGUAGUCCCAU
rnacentral:rRNA from 1 species